rnacentral:rRNA from 1 species
UAGGGAAUCUUCGGCAAUGGGGGGAACCCUGACCGAGCAACGCCGCGUGAGUGAAGAAGGAUUUCGGUUCGUAAAACUCUGUUGUUAGAGAAGAACAGCGCAUAGAGUAACUGUUAUGCGUGUGACGGUAUCUAACCAGAAAGCCACGGCUAACUACGUGCCAGCAGCCGCGGUAAUACGUAGGUGGCAAGCGUUGUCCGGAUUUAUUGGGCGUAAAGCGAGCGCAGGCGGUCAAUUAAGUCUGAUGUGAAAGCCCCCGGCUCAACCGGGGAGGGUCAUUGGAAACUGGUUGACUUGAGUGCAGAAGAGGAGAGUGGAAUUCCAUGUGUAGCGGUGAAAUGCGUAGAUAUAUGGAGGAACACCAGUGGCGAAGGCGACUCUCUGGUCUGUAACUGACGCUGAGGCUCGAAAGCGUGGGUAGCAAACAGG